ensembl:lncRNA
CAAUAGGAAAAAAUAUUUCAAUGACGAAAGUAUUCCAGAGUCAAAUAUAAGACUCAGAAGCUGGUACAGAAGGGAUUGUCAAGUCUGGCGAUAAAAUGUUAAAAGUUUGCAUGGCACAGUAAACCAAGAUAAACAGUACUGAUUUAACCAUCCUUCUUCAGCCCUUUUGCUCUCUCUUAUAAAACAUUACAAGCCCUUCAGAAGCAAUGACAGAGGAACGGAGAUGGAGAACCUAAACCCUGUUUCCAUGGUUUGAAGGCCACUUAAUGGACCAAAGAGCAGAAUAAACAUGGCAUCAGGACCUCUCAAAGGACAAAUGUCAAGCUUUUGUCUGGAACCACAUGCCGUGGACUUGAAACAGGACUUACGGAGUCCACCUUGGGCUGGGAGGGCAGUUUCUGGAAUAACUUUUCAUGCUAAGAAGCUAAGAACUACACACAGAGAUGAAAAUCUCCCUCAAUUAAAUCCUUUCUGGGCUUGCCAUUGCUCAAAAGACAAAGUCCAAAUUCCUUGAUUUGGCAGCUGAGGCC